GACGAACGCUGGCGGCGUGCUUAACACAUGCAAGUCGAACGGAGUUACGUAUGAAGUAUUUCGGUACGGACUAUGUAACUUAGUGGCGAACGGGUGAGUAACACGUGGGCAACCUGCCCUUAACCGGGGGAUAACAUUGUGAAAACAGUGCUAAUACCGCAUAACAGAGUAUCGGGCAUCCGAUAUUUUUAAAAGGAGCAAUCCGGUUUAGGAUGGGCCCGCGUCCAAUUAGCUAGUUGGUGAGGUAACGGCUCACCAAGGCUACGAUUGGUAGCCGAACUGAGAGGUUGAUCGGCCACAUUGGGGCUGGAGACACGGCCCAGACUCCUACGGGAGGCAGCAGUGGGGAAUAUUGGGCAAUGGGCGAAAGCCUGACCCAGCGACGCCGCGUGAAGGAUGAAGGUCUUCGGAUUGUAAACUUCUUUUGAUCAGGGAAGAAAGAAAUGACGGUACCUGAAGAACAAGCCACGGCUAACUACGUG
rnacentral:rRNA from 1 species